UACGGGGGGGGCAAGCGUUGUUCGGAAUUACUGGGCGUAAAGGGCUCGUAGGUGGCCAACUAAGUCAGACGUGAAAUCCCUCGGCUUAACCGGGGAACUGCGUCUGAUACUGGUUGGCUUGAGUGUGGGAGAGGGAUGCGGAAUUCCAGGUGUAGCGGUGAAAUGCGUAGAUAUCUGGAGGAACACCGGUGGCGAAGGCGGCAUCCUGGACCACGACUGACGCUGAGGAGCGAAAGCCAGGGGAGCAAACGGG
rnacentral:rRNA from 1 species